rnacentral:rRNA from 1 species
GACGAACGCUGGCGGCGUGCUUAACACAUGCAAGUCGAACGGCAGCACGGGGGGCAACCCUGGUGGCGAGUGGCGAACGGGUGAGUAAUACAUCGGAACGUGCCCAGUAGUGGGGGAUAGCCCGGCGAAAGCCGGAUUAAUACCGCAUACGACCUACGGGUGAAAGCGGGGGAUCGCAAGACCUCGUGCUACCGGAGCGGCCGAUGUCAGAUUAGGUUGUUGGUGGGGUAAAAGCCUACCAAGCCGACGAUCUGUAGCUGGUCUGAGAGGACGACCAGCCACACUGGGACUGAGACACGGCCCAGACUCCUACGGGAGGCAGCAGUGGGGAA